AUCCAGAAUAAGUUGUUCCAUCACCUUCCCAGGGACAGAAAGAAAAUAUCCUGCUGCCUUGUGAACAGCACAACUGCUGGGAGAGAGAGGAAUGAACCUGAAGAAUGCCCGAUCACCAAUUUAAUAUUUGUCAUUCUGCAUUACUGCUGGCUGUGUAUAAAGAUGACUUUCCCAUGGAAACAGUUUCAAAACUGUAUUUAAAAAGGCAAUACUCUAUUGUACGUAUGCAUUUUGGUAUCAUUAAUAGAUGUUUUAAAAUCCCAGA